UUUCCUGCAGCUCAGUGGUAGAGCGUCCGACUGGUGUACGGAAGGUCAUAACUUCAACUCCUGUUGGGGAAC
rnacentral:tRNA from 1 species